rnacentral:lncRNA from 1 species
UUUAUUACAAAGACUUUUGUUUCUCAUGACAAUGUAAAAUUUAGGUAUUUUUAUCCAUAUGGGAUAAAUGUUCCCAACUUCUCUACUUCCACUUCCCUUCAAAACACGCUGGAGAGGUAUCUCCGCCAAUAUGAAAGUUAUGACAGGCCGUUUUCCACUUUAACGCUAUCGUAUCAAAGCAUAUAUUUCUUUGUUCCCUGAGUAUUAGGGUGGAAAUAAUCACUUUGACACAAAAGAAAAUCCUACGAUACGUUACGAUAUGAUACGGUUGAAGUGGAAAACAGCCUCAAUUAAAGAUGCAUGGAAACGUUAACCAAUCAAAAGUGGAGCUGAAAAAAAGCCGAAAAUAGCGAAUCUCGUAACUAUAUGUUUUGAAUUUAAGUAUCUGUGAUGCCGUUGGGGUACUGUAUCUAUAACAAGGGGAUUCAGCUCAGACAAACAAAAGACAGGCAAAUAUUAAUAAUUCAAAUCGUCAUCCUUUUAUUGAGUGGUUUCUAACUUUAAUUCAAUCUCAUAUCCAGGGUCUUUCCUUUUGGGGGAGAAAAGACCCUGGUAGAUGCUGGUCAUGUGAUCUGCUAAAAUCUAGCAGAUUUUUAUAAUUUUAAUUAGCAAUCCAAGAUGAGGUUGAUAAAUAUUUUGUAUUUGGGUGAUUUUUAUAGUUUAAAUUUAUAAUUUGCAUUUUGUAUGAUUGUCGUAAAGGAAUCCAAGAUAGUUUUUUAGAAAUCUGCUAGAUUAUAGCAGAUCACGUGACCAGCGUCUACCAGGGUAUUUUGUCCCCAAUAGGAAAGACCCUGGGUACAAGGUUGACUUUUAUUAUGUUUCCUAAAAUUAGGGAGUUACAUAAUGCAUUAAUGAAGUUAUGUACCUUGUACUUAUGAUACACAGACUGCUGUGGUAUACACGCGUGCUUACAAUUAAUGCCUAGUGACGACAAGGACGAUGAUGGACAUUAAGGGAUAAAAUAGACUGAGUGUGAUGGAAGAUAUUAUAACGGGUAACAGCCUGGUUCCUCGCCUAUUCGCUUCCGCCUUACUAUUUUAGAGUGGUAUUUUGACAAGGUUUGCAGGUUGAGGGAGUCUCAGACUUUUGGGGAGGGGUGGGAAGGCUCGGAACAAGGCUAGACCGGUAUUAUAAACUGGUAUCUAAGGGUAGUGGUUAUUGAUCAAACUAGAGGGAGACAAAUCUACCUGAUGAGUUGUGAACUCACGAAAACGAGGCAUAGCGAAAGCUGAGUACUUUUCGGAAGUGUGUAUUACACACCAUUGAUAUUACACAUGAGGUUAGCUUGUUCAAUAGUACAUUUUUAUAGUUAUCAACUAAGAAUCUGAUAUUGCUUCACAAAAGUCAUUAAAACAAGUUCUUUAAUGUGAGGGACGCACCAUUGGAGAAGUGAAGGGGGGCGCGGAGUAGUUAUAUGUUUUUAAAUAUUUUGCUUGUAUGGAUUUUUCGGUUCUUACCCCGCCCGCUUCCUUUUCAAAUGGUCCAUCCCUAUAAUAGUGAUUCAUCUAAUUAUUCUCAUAAUUAAGAAUCGCAAAUGUCAACACUAUUUCAAGUAGUUUUAGACGUUAAUGUUGAGUUUUCAUAUUCAGAAGAUUGUUAAUUCUUGGUCCAGCGAACGCCAAAGAACAUUUCCACACAGGUUCUGUUUUUACUUUUGGAAGGACCAUGUUAUUAUAGACACAUGCAGUCACUUUGAGAGUUCAGAGAGUUCAGUGCUCAUUUGAAUCUUGAACCUCCAUUGUCCUUGUGUUAAAGUCUUGUGGGAUUGUUUGAAACCCACCUAAAAAAUUAAACUACUAAAAAAGUUAAACUACUAAUUAAUUAAACUACUACUAUUACAACUAUUGUGAUAUUUCUAAUUAUGUUAUUUAUUCUAACCCAUUCCGUUUGUUUUCAUUUCAAACUAUAAUAUAAAUGCUUAAACGAGGACAAUUUUGGCUUAAUUAUCUAGAAUAUUUAUUUUGGUUCGUGGAAACACCACGUAUAUUCAUUAUUGAAAAGCUUUCGAUCCGUAACAAGGAUCUUCACGUCAUUUCAAAUAUCCAGGGUAUCUGGCGGAAUUUUGGAACGGGGAAUCCUUCCACAUUAUCCUUGUAAUUCGUUUUUUUACAUCCGAAGACUGGACUGCCUGUGAUGUCAUUCUUGCCAAAUUAAUGCUAUAGUCGUUCAACAUUAACCAAACCUGCCAAAGGUAGUCGAGUAAAGGCCUACAAUCGCGUGCAAAAAUAAUGAGACUCUUCACAUUUUGGUGAUCUUUUUUACGUGCGUGCCCCCCUCCCCCCAUUAACAAUGUUGAAAACAUAUUAUUUGAUAAGCCCUGACCUCCAAAUCGUUUUAACAACAUUGCACAAGGGGGGGGGG